rnacentral:lncRNA from 1 species
AACAUUGCAACCUCUACCUGCAACUACUCUUGCCGUUCCUUCCAAUCGGUCUCCAUCUUUGCUUUCUCAGACACCAUGUUUGCCACCUUUGCUUUUUUCGCCAUCCACUUUUCUUUAACCCUAACUUCUACCAGUGCAAUGUCAAUUGGUUGUAAGUUUUGUAAAAUGCACAAAGAUCCAUGCCUAUGCACUCUUCAAAAACCAUGCUACUUCUCUUUAGUCCAACAAACAUCCAAUCGGAUCGGCUCCAUAUUAGUCACAAUAAUACACUCCAAUGGUAGCAACUCAUCCUUACGCCAUACAUUGCGCUGUUUCUCCUCCCUAUUCAAUUGCCUCUUAGUUUUCUCAAUCACCAUUCUAUUCUAACACAAGCAAGCACUCACAUGUAAUCUCUCAAAAUACACAUACACGACUUCUUAUACAAAAGUAAACACGAUGCUUGUCAAGAGCCCCCCUUCUACUUCUUACUAUAAUCCAAUCAAUUGGGUCGACUCCCCCU